rnacentral:lncRNA from 1 species
AUGACCCAUUCUGAUUACACUAAUCACUGUAAACGGAAGAUCGACCCUAAGACUGUGAUGUUAAAUCUCCGAACAUGUACGGUUGAUGUUGAAACGUUUCUAAAAAUCAACGCAAGCCUAUCCCAGUUGCAAGACGUUACCGUUAUCUUGGAUGCAAACACGGAAGUUCCGUUUACGGUAUUUGACAUGUAUUUAAAUAAAACCAAGCUAAAUGGGUGCAGCCUGACCGUUGAAACCACUGUGGUAUUGCCUGACUCAUGUAUCGUGUCCCUAUCAACAUUUCUGGACGCCAAAGAAACUAUUCAUUGUAUUCAGCAACAGUUACAGGAUUUCCGCAAGAAUCAACACGAAUGGUCCUGCAUUACCACCACUACGACGGUUAUUUCAUCACAAACUACCACAUCUAUUGCUGAAACAACGACUACUAGUGCGACUACGACCGGGAUAACGACAAAUGAGCCACCAUGCACUGAUGCAACAAUCACUGAGGCAACGAACACUGAGGAAAAGACCACUGAAGCACCAACCACAAAGCCAACGACAUCUAGCGUGACUACCACUGAGGAAACCCACACUGAAGCCACACCUGAGAAAACAACCACUAAGUUAUAUACAACUGAAGCAACGACUAGUGUGACUACCCCAGAGGCGACCACUGCAGAUGUGACAACUACCAAGGCAACCACGACGGAGACAACAACGUCUGAGGCAACCACUACUGAGGCAACGACGACAAAGAAAACCACGGUCGAGUUACCCACAACUGAAGCAACGACGACUGAGGCAAUCACCACUAAAUGCAAGACUACGGAGGCGACCACUACUGAGGACACAACUACCGAGGUAACCACGACCGAGGCAACGACGACUAAGGCAACGACUACUAAAACAACGACCACUGAAGGAACGACCACUGAAACAUCAACUACUGAAGCAAACACCACCGAAGCCAAAACGACAGAGUCAACCACCACUGAUUCCAUGAAUACGGAAGCGACCGCUACUGAGGCGAUAACUACUGAAGCAACAACGACAGAGGCUACCACGACCGAGGCAACUACGACUGAGGAAACGACGACUGAAGAAGAACGACGACUGAAGCGACAACUACCGAGGCGACAACUA